ensembl:lncRNA
AAAAAAAAAAAAAAAAAAUAAAAAUAAAAAUAUGUGGGAAGGAUUAAGAUGUGAGAGACAAAAGUAGACAGACUUUUCCAUGGGAGGAAGCGUUAUUAUAGAUUAUGGACUUAUAUUUUAGCCAGAAGCAACAGUAUAAAGUUCAAACGUCUUAAUGAUAGAUUUGUUUCUUACAAAUAUGCUGAUUUUCAUGCCACGAGAUGUUAACUGAUGGACUGGAGUGGUGUGGAUUACUUGUGAUGUUUUUAUCAGCUGUUUGGACUCUCAUUCUGACGGCACCCAUUCACCCAUGCAGAGGAUCCAUUGCUGUUUGGACUCUCAUUCUGACGGCAUCCAUUCACUGCAGAGGAUUAAGUGCAGACAGGAAUUCAACAGCAUCUCAUCACAUUCUGCAGCAGCCGCAGGAGGGUCAAACGCUGAGCCGCCAUGACGUUUCUGCUGAUUUUGCAUGACAAGAUCUCACUGAAAGCUGCUGCUCAUGCUUCACCUGAGAUCAGGCACUGCGGAGGACAAGCAGAAACACUGAUUAAUAUGAGCUUAUUAAAACUGCAUGUGCAAAAUUAAUUAAAAAUAUGCUGCUUAACAGUACGCUGUUUUAAACAGAUGGAGUUUCCAAGUGCUCCUACCCAGUGAAUAUUAUGCUGAAAAUAUACUGUAUAAGAACAACUUUAUUUAUUGUUCAUAUAUAUUUGUAUUUUUUAUAUGUUAAUUUAAUCAAUUG